rnacentral:rRNA from 1 species
UACGAAGGGGGCUAGCGUUGUUCGGAAUCACUGGGCGUAAAGCGCACGUAGGCGGAUCUUUAAGUCAGAGGUGAAAUCCCAAGGCUCAACCUUGGAACUGCCUUUGAUACUGGGGAUCUUGAGUCCGGGAGAGGUGAGUGGAACUGCGAGUGUAGAGGUGAAAUUCGUAGAUAUUCGCAAGAACACCAGUGGCGAAAGCGACUCUCUGGACGGCAACUGACGCUGAGGCACGAAAGCGUGGGGAGCAAACAGG